GACAGAGGUCCCGAGCGUUAGGCGGAAUCACUGGGCUUAAAGCGUGUGUAGGCGGAUCGUUAAGUGCCUUGUGAAAUCCCACGGCUUAACCGUGGAAUGGCUGGGCAAACUGGCGCAUCUUGAGCCAUCUAGGGGCGACCGGAACAAACGGUGGAGCGGUGAAAUGCGUAGAUAUCGUUUGGAACGCCAACGGUGAAAACAGGUCGCUGGGGAUGUGCUGACGCUGAGACACGAAAGCCAGGGGA
rnacentral:rRNA from 1 species